rnacentral:rRNA from 1 species
GUAGUCCACGCCGUAAACGAUGAAUGCUAGUCGUCGGGGUACUCGUUACUUCGGUGACGCAGCUAACGCAUUAAGCAUUCCGCCUGGGGAGUACGGCCGCAAGGUUAAAACUCAAAGGAAUUGACGGGGACCCGCACAAGCGGUGGAUGAUGUGGUUUAAUUCGAUGCAACGCGAAAAACCUUACCUACCCUUGACAUGUUAGGAACCCUUAAGAGAUUUGGGGGUGCUCGAAAGCGAGAACCUACACACAGGUGCUGCAUGGCUGUCGUCAGCUCGUGUCGUGAGAUGUUGGGUUAAGUCCCGCAACGAGCGCAACCCUUGCCAUUAGUUGCUAUCAGUUAGGUGGGCACUCUAAUGAGACUGCCGGUGACAAACCGGAGGAAGGUGGGGAUGACGUCAAGUCCUCAUGGCCCUUAUGGGUAGGGCUACACACGUGCUACAAUGGCGGGUACAAAGGGCUGCAAAACCGCGAGGUGGAGCCAAUCUCAUAAAGCCUCUCUCAGUUCGGAUUGUACUCUGCAACUCGAGUACAUGAAGUUGGAAUCGCUAGUAAUCGUGGAUCAGCAUGCCACGGUGAAUACGUUCCCGGGUCUUGUACACACCGCCCGUCACACCAUGGGAGUUGAUUUCACCCGAAAUCGGGAUGCCAAACUGGCUACCGCUUACGGUGGAAUUAGCGACUGGGGUGAAGUCGUAACAAGGUAACCGUAGGAGAACCUGCGGUUG